AAAGGUGAAUAAAAAUUAACUGAGGAAAUUAAAACAUUAAAAAAAAAAAAAGAAAAAUAAAAUAAAACGAAAAAAACCUGGAACAACCAAAAAAAAAAAAUUCCCAACCAAAAUUCCCAACGCCCAGGUGUGUACAGGUUCCAGGUGUGUUCUGAGAAUAUCCAGGUGUGUCCAGGUGUGUCCAGGUGUGUUCUGGGCACGUCCAGGUGUGUUCUGAGAAUAUCCAGGUGUGUCCAGGUGUGUCCAGGUGUGUUCUGGGCACGUCCAGGUGUGUUCUGAGAAUAUCCAGGUGUGUCCAGGUGUGUCCAGGUGUGUUCUGGGCACGUCCAGGUGUGUUCUGAGAAUAUCCAGGUGUGUCCAGGUGUGUCCAGGUGUGUUCUGGGAAUAUCCAGGUGUGUCCAGGUGUUCUCUGGGCACGUCCAGGUGUGUCAAGGUGUAUUCUUGGAAUAUCCAGGUGUGUCCAGGUGUGUCCAGGUGUGUUCUGGGCACGUCCAGGUGUGUUCUGAGAAUAUCCAGGUGUGUCCAGGUGUGUCCAGGUGUGCUCUGGGCACGUCCAGGUGUGCUCUGGGCAUGUCCAGAUGUGUCCAGGUGUGUUCUGGGAAUAUCCAGGUGUGCCCAGGUGUGUUCUGGGCACAUCCAGGUGUGCUCAGGUGUAUCCAGAUGUGUCCAGCGUAGUUCCAGGCAUGUCCAGGGUAGUUCCAGGUGUGCCCAGCUGUGCCCAGGUGCGCCCAGGUGCGCCCAGGUGCUCAGGGCAGGAAGCCCAUGUGUAUCCAGGUGAGUUCAGGGUAAUUCAAGGAUCGUUCCAGGGUAAUUCCAGGUGUGUCCAGGUGUAUCCAGCCGUGCCCAGGUGUAUCCAGGUGCGCCCAGGUGCGCCCAGGUGCUCA
rnacentral:lncRNA from 12 species